GUCAGUUUGUUGCCUUCACAAUCUGUCUUCACCUCUUCCACACCUUCUAAAUGCUUAACAGCGCGCUUAAUUUUCUUCGCACAACCCUCGCAAUGCAUGUCCAUCUUAUAAACGGAGACAACCUUGGCGUCAUCUUUCUUGUCGCCGCCGGCGCCGGUGGCUUCUACGGCAGCGGCUUUCUGUUCAGCGCCCAUUAGUCGGUUAUCUGUUUAGCUAAACGUCUAAAGACCUACAGAGAGCUUUUUUAGUUACUGCGAAUGCUUU
rnacentral:misc_RNA from 1 species